UUAACUAACGAGUUAUGAAAAAGUUACCGCUAAACUGAAAUUGUUCUAAUCGUCCUAUUGGGCUAUUGGGCUAUUGGGCUAUUGGGGUAUUCUCGUUAGGUAUCGCUCUUAACAGUGACGUAAUUAGAAAUUUUCUCGGGGGGAGAGGCUGUAUGGUUUUUUUUUUUUAGUAAAACGAGUUUUUUUUUAUUACUGUUCAAUAAAAUAGUAUGCAUCCAAGGUUGUUUGGACCAAGUUUGCUGAAGGCUGGCAGUUCUAUCUUUCGCAACUUAAUCGAAAAUAGUACAAUAUUCACAAAAAGCGCCAAAUUUCUCUCAUAACCAAUUGGAUCCCAAAUGCCCCCGGAGGGACUUAUUUUCCCUUUAAUUCACUCGACUACGCUCCUGGCUCUUAGUGGAUUAAUCUCCUACCUAUUAAUUUCGUCACGUUAUAAAAAAUUACUAAUAAAUAUUUUUUACAUCGCCACAUAGCUCAUGGCGUAAACAAACAUUUCAUAGAUGCCAUUAUUCGCCCUCUAGGUACACGGCAGCUGAGCUUCAGAUUUACUCAUACACGGUCGGCUAUCUAGCUGUUUUAUUGUAUCUUUGUGGCAGGCAAUUGUAGUUGUUAUGUUAUCGGCGCGUACUGAAAAAAUUACCCCGCAAAAUCACACAGUGCUCGCCGAUACAUAUUGCAUUAUCGUUUUUACAGAAAACCACGAAGAAAAAUGUUAUUCAAUUUGGUUAAUUUACAAUUUACUCCGCCGUUUUCAUUAUUUAACGUAUUCAUAUAUUAUUAAAU